GACGAACGCUGGCGGCGUGCUUAACACAUGCAAGUCGAACGGAAAGGCCCUGCUUUUGUGGGGUGCUCGAGUGGCGAUCGGGUGAGUAACACGUGAGUAACCUGCCCUUUACUUUGGGAUAACUUCAGGAAACUGGGGCUAAUACCGGAUAGGAGCUCCUGCUGCAUGGUGGGGGUUGGAAAGUUUCGGCGGUUGGGGAUGGACUCGCGGCUUAUCAGCUUGUUGGUGGGGUAGUGGCUUACCAAGGCUUUGACGGGUAGCCGGCCUGAGAGGGUGACCGGCCACAUUGGGACUGAGAUACGGCCCAGACUCCUACGGGAGGCAGCAGUGGGGAAUAUUGCACAAUGGGCGGAAGCCUGAUGCAGCAACGCCGCGUGCGGGAUGACGGCCUUCGGGUUGUAAACCGCUUUCGCCUGUGACGAAGCGUGAGUGACGGUAAUGGGUAAAGAAGCACCGGCUAACUACGUG
rnacentral:rRNA from 1 species